rnacentral:rRNA from 1 species
CUGUGGUUAAGGAACUCGGCAAAUUACCCCCGUAACUUCGGGAGAAGGGGGGCCACAGACUGUCAUACCCCACGCGGGUGGCAGCAGUAGGUGGCCGCAGAGACCAGGGGGAAGCGACUGUUUACUAAAAACACAGGUCCGUGCGAAGUCGUAAGACGAUGUAUACGGACUGACGCCUGCCCGGUGCUGGAACGUUAAGGGGACCGGUUAGUCCGCAAGGGCGAAGCUGAGAACUUAAGCGCCAGUAAACGGCGGUGGUAACUAUAACCAUCCUAAGGUAGCGAAAUUCCUUGUCGGGUAAGUUCCGACCUGCACGAAUGGCGUAACGACUUCCCUACUGUCUCAACCACAGGCCCGGCGAAAUUGCACUACGAGUAAAGAUGCUCGUUACGCGCGGAAGGACGGAAAGACCCCGGGACCUUCACUAUAGCUUGACAUUGGUAUCCGAAUUUAAUUGUGUAGGAUAGGUGGGAGGCUUUGAUCCGCGGACGCCAGUCCGUCGGGGAGCCAACGUUGAAAUACCACUCUGUUGACUUUGGGUAUCUAACUUCGGACCGUGAUCCGGUUCAGGGACAGUGUCUGGUGGGUAGUUUAACUGGGGCGGUUGCCUCCUAAAAUGUAACGGAGGCGCCCAAAGGUUCCCUCAGCCUGGUUGGCAAUCAGGUGUUGAGUGCAAGUGCACAAGGGAGCUUGACUGUGAGACUGACAGGUCGAGCAGGGACGAAAGUCGGGACUAGUGAUCCGGCACCUGCGAGUGGAAGCGGUGUCGCUCAACGGAUAAAAGGUACCCCGGGGAUAACAGGCUGAUCUUCCCCAAGAGUCCAUAUCGACGGGAUGGUUUGGCACCUCGAUGUCGGCUCGUCGCAUCCUGGGGCUGGAGUAGGUCCCAAGGGUUGGGCUGUUCGCCCAUUAAAGCGGCACGCGAGCUGGGUUUAGAACGUCGUGAGACAGUUCGGUCCCUAUCCUCCGCGCGCGUAGGAGACUUGAGAAGAGCUGUCCCUAGUACGAGAGGACCGGGACGGACGAACCUCUGGUGUGCCAGUUGUCAUGCCAAUGGCACGGCUGGUUAGCUACGUUCGGAAGGGAUAACCGCUGAAAGCAUCUAAGCGGGAAGCUCGCUUCAAGAUGAGGUCUCCCACCCCUUAGAGGGUUAAGGCCCCCAGCUAGACCACUGGGUUGAUAGGCCAUAAGUGUAAGCCUGGUAACAGGUUCAGCCGACUGGUACUAAUAGGCCGAGGACUUUACCA